AGAGCGAACGCUGGCGGCAGGCCUAACACAUGCAAGUCGAGCGCCCCCGCAAGGGGAGCGGCAGACGGGAGAGUAACACGUGGGAACGUACCCUUUGGUUCGGAACAACACAGGGAAACUUGUGCUAAUACCGGAUAAGCCCUUACGGGGAAAGAUUUAUUGCCAAAGGAUCGGCCCGCGUCUGAUUAGCUUGUUGGUGAGGUAACGGCUCACCAAGGCUACGAUCAGUAGCUGGUCUGAGAGGAUGAUCAGCCUCACUGGGACUGAGACACGGCCCAGACUCCUACGGGAGGCAGCAGUGGGGAAUAUUGGACAAUGGGCGCAAGCCUGAUCCAGCCAUGCCGCGUGGAUGAUGAAGGCCCUAGGGUUGUAAAGUCCUUUCGACGGGGAAGAUAAUGACGGUACCCGUAGAAGAAGCCCGGCUAACUUCGCGCCAGCAGCCGC
rnacentral:rRNA from 1 species